GUCAGGCUAUGAAAAUGCUUUGCUUUGAAGGGGGUACAACAACAGCAAUAUCGUUCCAAACUCUUCUCUAAAGUAUACAGGACCGAAAGAGUAGAGUACAGUAGACUUGUUCAUGAUUUUGUCCUGUUUGUCCGAACAUGCAUAACUUCAUCUCACACAUAUGUAGCCUUUUAUAAGAAACGUUUCCACGUUGGUUCGCAAAUUAAACUGAUUGACUCC